AACGCACGAGACCUGCGGACCUGCGGAGGGAUCAUUACCGAGUUACCCAACUCCCAACCCCUGUGAAUUAUACCUUUAAUUGUUGCUUCGGCGGGACUUCGCGCCCGCCGGGGACCCAAACCUUCUGAAUUUUUUAAUAAGUAUCUUCUGAGUGGUUAAAAAAAUGAAUCAAAACUUUCAACAACGGAUCUCU
rnacentral:misc_RNA from 1 species